GACGAACGCUGGCGGCGUGCUUAACACAUGCAAGUCGAACGGAAAGGCCCUGCUUUUGUGGGGUGCUCGAGUGGCGAACGGGUGAGUAACACGUGAGUAACCUGCCCUUGACUUUGGGAUAACUUCAGGAAACUGGGGCUAAUACCGGAUAGGAGCUCCUGCUGCAUGGUGGGGGUUGGAAAGUUUCGGCGGUUGGGGAUGGACUCGCGGCUUAUCAGCUUGUUGGUGGGGUAGUGGCUUACCAAGGCUUUGACGGGUAGCCGGCCUGAGAGGGUGACCGGCCACAUUGGGACUGAGAUACGGCCCAGACUCCUACGGGAGGCAGCAGUGGGGAAUAUUGCACAAUGGGCGGAAGCCUGAUGCAGCAACGCCGCGUGCGGGAUGACGGCCUUCGGGUUGUAAACCGCUUUCGCCUGUGACGAAGCGUGAGUGACGGUAAUGGGUAAAGAAGCACCGGCUAACUACGUGCCAGCCGCCGCGGUAAGAC
rnacentral:rRNA from 1 species